CCUGGCUCAGGAUGAACGCUAGCUACAGGCUUAACACAUGCAAGUCGAGGGGCAUCAGGAAGAAAGCUUGCUUUCUUUGCUGGCGACCGGCGCACGGGUGAGUAACACGUAUCCAACCUGCCCUUUACUCGGGGAUAGCCUUUCGAAAGAAAGAUUAAUACCCGAUAGCAUAAUGAUUCCGCAUGGUUUCAUUAUUAAAGGAUUCCGGUAAAGGAUGGGGAUGCGUUCCAUUAGGUUGUUGGUGAGGUAACGGCCCACCAAGCCUUCGAUGGAUAGGGGUUCUGAGAGGAAGGUCCCCCACAUUGGAACUGAGACACGGUCCAAACUCCUACGGGAGGCAGCAGUGAGGAAUAUUGGUCAAUGGGCGCUAGCCUGAACCAGCCAAGUAGCGUGAAGGAUGAAGGCUCUAUGGGUCGUAAACUUCUUUUAUAUAAGAAUAAAGUGCAGUAUGUAUACUGUUUUGUAUGUAUUAUAUGAAUAAGGAUCGGCUAACUCCGUGCCAGCAGCCGCGGUAAUACGGAGGAUCCGAGCGUUAUCCGGAUUUAUUGGGUUUAAAGGGAGCGUAGGUGGACUGGUAAGUCAGUUGUGAAAGUUUGCGGCUCAACCGUAAAAUUGCAGUUGAUACUGUCAGUCUUGAGUACAGUAGAGGUGGGCGGAAUUCGUGGUGUAGCGGUGAAAUGCUUAGAUAUCACGAAGAACUCCGAUUGCGAAGGCAGCUCACUGGACUGCAACUGACACUGAUGCUCGAAAGUGUGGGUAUCAAACAGGAUUAGAUACCCUGGUAGUCCACACAGUAAACGAUGAAUACUCGCUGUUUGCGAUAUACAGUAAGCGGCCAAGCGAAAGCAUUAAGUAUUCCACCUGGGGAGUACGCCGGCAACGGUGAAACUCAAAGGAAUUGACGGGGGCCCGCACAAGCGGAGGAACAUGUGGUUUAAUUCGAUGAUACGCGAGGAACCUUACCCGGGCUUAAAUUGCAGUGGAAUGACGUGGAAACAUGUCAGUGAGCAAUCACCGCUGUGAAGGUGCUGCAUGGUUGUCGUCAGCUCGUGCCGUGAGGUGUCGGCUUAAGUGCCAUAACGAGCGCAACCCUUAUCUUUAGUUACUAACAGGUCAUGCUGAGGACUCUAGAGAGACUGCCGUCGUAAGAUGUGAGGAAGGUGGGGAUGACGUCAAAUCAGCACGGCCCUUACGUCCGGGGCUACACACGUGUUACAAUGGGGGGUACAGAAGGCAGCUAGCGGGUGACCGUAUGCUAAUCCCAAAAUCCUCUCUCAGUUCGGAUCGAAGUCUGCAACCCGACUUCGUGAAGCUGGAUUCGCUAGUAAUCGCGCAUCAGCCACGGCGCGGUGAAUACGUUCCCGGGCCUUGUACACACCGCCC
rnacentral:rRNA from 1 species